rnacentral:rRNA from 1 species
AACGAACGCUGGCGGCAUGCCUAACGCAUGCAAGUCGAACGAGACCUUCGGGUCUAGUGGCGCACGGGUGCGUAACGCGUGGGAACCUGCCCUUAGGUUCGGAAUAACUCCCCGAAAGGGGUGCUAAUACCGGAUAAUGUCUUCGGACCAAAGAUUUAUCGCCUUUGGAUGGGCCCGCGUUGGAUUAGCUAGUUGGUAGGGUAAAAGCCUACCAAGGCGACGAUCCAUAGCUGGUCUGAGAGGAUGAUCAGCCACACUGGGACUGACACACGGCCCAGACUCCUACGGGAGGCAGCAGUGGGGAAUAUUGGACAAUGGGCGAAAGCCUGAUCCAGCAAUGCCGCGUGAGUGAUGAAGGCCUUAGGGUUGUAAAGCUCUUUUACCCGGGAUGAUAAUGACAGUACCGGGAGAAUAAGCUCCGGCUAACUCCGUG